UACGUAGGGUCCGAGCGUCGUCCGGAGUGACUGGGCGUAAAGCGCGCGCAGGCGGCCCCUCAGGCGCGACGUGAAAGCCCCGGGCUCAACCCGGGAGGGUCGUCGCGAACCGUGGGGCUUGAGGCCGGUAGAGGUGGGUGGAACUCCUGGUGGAGUGGUGAAAUGCGUAGAGAUCAGGAAGAACACCCGUGGCGAAGGCGGCCCACUGGGCCGGUGCUGACGCUGAGGCGCGAAGGCGUGGGGAGCGAACGGG
rnacentral:rRNA from 1 species